rnacentral:rRNA from 1 species
UCGUGGAUUGAUUUGUCUGGUUAAUUCCGAUAACGAACGAGACCUUACUCUGCUAAUUACUUGGGUUCAGUUUCAAUUUUAUGGCUGGAUUUACCGAAAACCAAGUUCUUAGAGAGACAGCCGGCGUUUAGCCGGAGGAAGUUUGAGGCAAUAACA